AUUGAACGCUGGCGGCAGGCCUAACACAUGCAAGUCGAACGAGUGGCGGACGGGUGAGCUAUGUCUGGGAAACUGCCUGAUGGAUGGGGUUAACUACUGGAAACGGUAGCUAAUUCCGAAUUUCAUAACAUGUGCCCAGAUGGGAUUAGCUUGUUGGUGGGGUAACGGCCCACCAAGGCGACGAUCCGUAGCUGGUCUGAGAGGAUGACCGGACACACUGGAACUGAGACACGGUCCAGACUCCUACGGGAGGCAGCAGUGGGGAAUAUUGCACAAUGGGCGCAAGCCUGAUGCAGCCAUGCCGCGUGUAUGAAGAAGGCCUUCGGGUUGUAAAGUACUUUCAGCGGGGAGGCGUUACCCGCAGAAGAAGCACCGGCUAACUCCGAGCCAGCAGCGGCGGUAAUAC
rnacentral:rRNA from 1 species